rnacentral:rRNA from 1 species
AGCGCAACCCUCGCCCUUUGUUGCCAUCGGGUAAAGCCGGGCACUCUAAGGGGACUGCCAGCGACAAGUUGGAGGAAGGAGAGGAUGACGUCAAGUCAUCAUGGCCUUUAUGCCUAGGGCCACACACGUGCAACAAUGGCCGGUACAGACGGAGGCAAUGCCGAGAGGCGGAGCAAACCCGAGAAAACCGGUCCCAGUUCGGAUUGAGGUCUGCAACUCGACCUCAUGAAGUCGGAAUCGCUAGUAAUCGCAUAUCAGAACGAUGCGGUGAAUACGUUCCCGGGCCUUGUACACACCGCCCGUCACACCACGAAACGUUUGUUGUACCCGAAGUCGGUGCCUUAACCUCGCAAGAGGAGAGAGCCGCCCAAGGUAUGGCCGAUGAUUGGGGUGAAGUCGUAACAAGGUAGCCGUAGGGGAACCUGCGGCUGGAUCACCUCCUUUCUAGGU